rnacentral:rRNA from 1 species
GACGAACGCUGGCGGCGUGCCUAAUACAUGCAAGUAGGACGCAGUUGCGAACGGGUGAGUAACGCGUAGGUAACUACCUAUUAGUGGGGGAUAACUACUGGAAACGAUAGCUAAUACCGCAUACUAGUAGAUGGACCUGCGUUGUAUUAGCUAGUAGGUAGGGUAAUGGCCUACCUAGGCAACGAUACAUAGCCGACAUGAGAGGGUGAACGGCAACACUGGGACUGAGACACGGCCCAGACGCCUACGGGAGGCAGCAGUAAGGAAUAAUCGGCAAUGGGGGGAACCAUGAACGAGCAACGCCGCGUGAGUGAAGAAGGUAUUCGGAGCGUAAAGCUAUGUUGUUAAGGAAGCGGUACUUAACCAGAAAGGGACGGCUAACUACGUGCCAGCAGCCGCGGUAAUUG